rnacentral:rRNA from 1 species
AUUGAACGCUGGCGGCAGGCCUAACACAUGCAAGUCGAACGAGCGGCGGACGGGUGAGUAAUGUCUGGGAAACUGCCCGAUGGAGGGGGAUAACUACUGGAAACGGUAGCUAAUACCGCAUACUAUCGGAUGACCCCAGAUGGGAUUAGCUAGUAGGUGGGGUAAAGGCUCACCUAGGCGACGAUCUCUAGCUGGUCUGAGAGGAUGACAAGCCACACUGGCACUGAGAAACGGCCCAGACGCCAACGGGAGGCAGCAGUGGGGACUAUUGCACAAUGGUCGCAAGACUAAUGCAGCCAUGCCGCGUGUAUGAAGAAGGUCUUAGGGUCGUAAAGGACUUUCAGCGGGGAGGCGUUACCCGCAGAAGAAGCCCCGGCUAACUCCGUGCCAGCAGCCGCGGGAAUUC